UUAUGGCAAAGGAGAGCAAGACAGCUCAUGCCACAGGAAGGUUUCUGCUGUUUUGUACCUUUUAAUUGCAAGUGCAUCUGAGAGUUCAUAACACAAAGAUCUUCUGCUGUUUGUCCUUUGGAAUAUAGAGAAAACCAGCUAGAGCCCCAAAAUGGCUUUUUUUGCACCUGCCUUCUGCCUCUCUGUCUCUUCCAGCUGGCACACUUGGGAGAUGCAGACUGCUGAAAAACUGCUGAAGAAACAUCUUCACUGCAUGGAGAAACCCAGAGGUGCUUUGCAGGGACAUCAUCUAUACAGAGAAUAAUUUUAAAGUGUUCCCCAUGCAAAGAUGCUGAAGAAGAAAAGUGGCAACGAGGUGCAAGCCCUAUGAGAAGAAGCUGAACGAGCUGUUUAGGCUGGAGAAAAGGAGACUCAGGGGGGACCUUAUCACUCUCUACAACUGCCUGCAAAAAGGGUGUAGCCAGACCUCUUCUCCUAAAAAGUGUCGGGACAAGAGGAAAUGUCCUGAAGUUCCACAGAGGAGGCUGAUUGGGUAUUAGGGCAAUUUCUUUGCUGAAAAGGUGGUUAACCAUAGGAACAAGGUAUUCAGGGAAGUGGUGGAAUCCUUGGAAGUUUUUGAAAAACAUGUGGAUAGGGCUUUUGGGUACACAGUUUGUGGUGAACAACUGGACUUGGUGACCUUAAGGAUCUUUCUCAAUCUAGAUAAUUUUAUUGUGGAAUCACAGAAUUAAUUCCUCAUCUAGCCUAUAAAUUAUGAUUCUAUGAUUCUAAAUAUUAGAAGCUCUCAGGAUCAAAAACAGCUGUUUUGCCUUUGAAUGAAUGAAGGACAACUUCCUUCCUGUUUCCACAAUGUUACAAAUGUUCUUUUCUCUUGAAAGCACCAAAUUUUGACUCUUUAUUUUCCUCCACCUUGUCCUGUGAUAAACUCAGAGAAGCAAGAAACAUGCUGUACUUUUUGAACACACAUUGAAUGGAGGCGUUAGAAGAUCAUAUAUAUAUAUAUGCAGCAUGUCUCAAAAUCUUCCCAGGGAGGUGAAAAUAUAUUUUGCAAUGUGUGAAGGUAAAUUUUUCAAAAGAUCCCAUGGUCAGAUUUUUUUGCUUGAUUAUGGAAAAAGGCCAACAUUUCUGAAGUAUUCAUGGAACUUUGCAAUACUCAUUGCAACAUCUGUGGGCAGUUUUUUUUUUAAAUGAUUGGCACCUAGGGUGCAAUUAAUGCCCCAGAGUCUCGCAAUCUGAUUUGGCAUUAAAAAGAAAACUGAGAAGUUUAGAAAUCACUAAGGAAUGAAGGAAACACCGAGAAACUGCUAGAAAGUAUGGACUGUUUAUUUUGAGUAGCAAUGAAAAGUUACCUUGAUUGCCUUGCUACUUUCCAGAAAAAGGAUGGCUAUGGAGUUAAAAUUAUCCUACAGAAAUAGAGGUGUCAUGAAACUACUAAAACUAAAAGCCUAAACCAGAAAAUAGUAACAUUUCAUCGGGAUGACCCCUUGGCAGUGGAGGCGCUCAGUUACAACAUUGGAACCUCUGUGGUGUGUCUUUGGAAAUUGAGCUCAGGUAAUAUGUCUGCAGCUCUCAAAUGCUUGGAAAGCAUUCAGGGGACACAAAGUAGUGGGCAAAUAAUAUGCUCAGAGUCUCAGGUGUUCUGCUGAUGCAGCUGACCACCUUCAGUCAAGUUAUUCCAUCAAACACUUUUUCCUGACAUCCUAACCUCCACUUCAAAUCUCUGUAUUUUUUUCACAUGCAUGAUGAUACAGCAGCAUGUAUGAACAGCACUGGGGAGAGGCACACAAGGGCAGAGGUCAGUGGGAGGGACCUGUCAUUGUUUAACUUUCAGGACAAAAGGAUUAGAAUAAAAAUUUGGCAAAACAGAGGGCUUCGAAAAGAAUAGCCAUGAGCAGUCAGAUUGCAAAACUUUUAGUGCUCUCAUUUGAUCAAAGUCAAAAGGAUCCAAAAUAAUUAGGAUGAAUUAUGGGAGAAGGAAACAAUGACUUUCUAACUUGAUGGUCUUGGCAUAGUAGGCACACAUAUUUCUAGGCCACCAUUGCAAAUUUGGCUCAGCUAACAAGGAUGGGAAAUCAUAGCUACGUAAAAACUGUUUAUUUUCAGAAAUUACAUGAAGUGAGUCAUAGAUCUCAGUCACCUUUCUGUGGGAAAUUCUGUGUUUCAACAUAUCCUUACAGUGGACAGCACAUGACACUUGGCACACACUCCACGCUCCAAGGGGGUUACAAGGACAAUAUUGGUAUGGUACCUCCUAGAAGCAAUCAUACACUCCCGAUUUUUCCUCAGUCUGGUAAAAAUGGAAAGAAGCUUGAAGUCAAAGCACCCAAAAGGAAUGAAGUCUUCCCCAAAGACUUCAAAUUACACUGUUACUCUGGCAAUUUUUACUGUGGAUAAGUUCAUGAAAUGGAGAGGGGGUUGUGAAGAUAGUGGAUGUGGCCAUAAUUUUGGCCUGCUAUGGAAAGUGUGGAACCAGAUGUGGAAGUUAAUGCAGAAAAGGAACAUUGAAGGAGUAUAAACAGAUGGCAAAUAAAAUAAGACCUUUCUGUCUCAUAUUUAUGGAGAAGUCACAUGUAAGAAAAUGAACUUCUAAGAACCCACUGUGAGCAAUGAAAUAGGAGAGUCUGGAAGAAAGAAUCUGGGUCUGAUCCUAUUAAAUAAACUCCAGUGUCAAAGAGCAUUGUGGGAUGUAUUGCUCAAGAACAAUAAAUCCUAUCACAAAGAUUUCUGCCGCCAAGAUUUAGUAUCUACAGUAUGAUGCACAUGCUGCUGGAUUAGCUCUAGCCUGCAGACCAGCUGAUAGUUCUGUGUAAAAAGGAUUUUUUUUGGUCAUCAUAUUGACUGAAAAGUCUUACUUCUCAUCAGAAACAUUUGAAAUUCAAUAUUUUUCAACCAGCCCAACACUUCACUGUGUACAGUUUUCCCUUAGGAUUUUCUUUCCUUUACAUAGUAAAGGGUCCUGGUCCAGAGCUCUUGCUCUCUAAAUUAAAUUA